rnacentral:rRNA from 1 species
AGCGAACGCUGGCGGCAGGCCUAACACAUGCAAGUCGAACGAAGUCUUCGGACUUAGUGGCGGACGGGUGAGUAACACGUGGGAACGUGCCUUUAGGUUCGGAAUAACUCAGGGAAACUUGUGCUAAUACCGAAUGUGCCCUUCGGGGGAAAGAUUUAUCGCCUUUAGAGCGGCCCGCGUCUGAUUAGCUAGUUGGUGAGGUAAAGGCUCACCAAGGCGACGAUCAGUAGCUGGUCUGAGAGGAUGAUCAGCCACAUUGGGACUGAGACACGGCCCAAACUCCUACGGGAGGCAGCAGUGGGGAAUCUUGCGCAAUGGGCGAAAGCCUGACGCAGCCAUGCCGCGUGGAUGAUGAAGGUCUUAGGAUUGUAAAAUUCUUUCACCGGGGACGAUAAUGACGGUACCCGGAGAAGAAGCCCCGGCUAACUUCGUGCCAGCCGCCGCAGUAAUAC